rnacentral:rRNA from 1 species
UACGUAGGGGGCAAGCGUUGUCCGGAAUUACUGGGCGUAAAGGGCGCGUAGGCGGCCUGCUAAGUCGAACGUGAAAUCCCUGGGCUCAACCCAGGAACUGCGUCCGAUACUGGUUGGCUUGAAUCCGGGAGAGGGAUGUGGAAUUCCAGGUGUAGCGGUGAAAUGCGUAGAUAUCUGGAGGAACACCGGUGGCGAAGGCGACAUCCUGGACCGGUAUUGACGCUGAGGCGCGAAAGCCAGGGGAGCAAACGGG